rnacentral:rRNA from 1 species
GCGGUAAGGCCCUUUCGGGGGUACACGAGCGGCGAACGGGUGAGUAACACGUGGGUGAUCUGCCCUGCACUCUGGGAUAAGCCUGGGAAACUGGGUCUAAUACCGGAUAUGAGCUCCUGCCGCAUGGCGGGGGUUGGAAAGGUUUACUGGUGCAGGAUGGGCCCGCGGCCUAUCAGCUUGUUGGUGGGGUAAUGGCCUACCAAGGCGACGACGGGUAGCCGGCCUGAGAGGGCGACCGGCCACACUGGGACUGAGACACGGCCCAGACUCCUACGGGAGGCAGCAGUGGGGAAUAUUGCACAAUGGGCGAAAGCCUGAUGCAGCGACGCCGCGUGAGGGAUGACGGCCUUCGGGUUGUAAACCUCUUUCAGCAGGGACGAAGCGCAAGUGACGGUACCUGCAGAAGAAGCACCGGCCAACUACGUGCCAGCAGCCGCGGUAAUACGUAGGGUGCGAGCGUUGUCCGGAAUUACUGGGCGUAAAGAGCUCGUAGGCGGUUUGUCGCGUCGUCUGUGAAAACCCGCAGCUCAACUGCGGGCUUGCAGGCGAUACGGGCAGACUUGAGUACUGCAGGGGAGACUGGAAUUCCUGGUGUAGCGGUGAAAUGCGCAGAUAUCAGGAGGAACACCGGUGGCGAAGGCGGGUCUCUGGGCAGUAACUGACGCUGAGGAGCGAAAGCGUGGGUAGCGAACAGGAUUAGAUAC